rnacentral:rRNA from 1 species
GUGCCAGCAGCCGCGGUAAAACGUAGGAGGCAAGCGUUAUCCGGAUUUACUGGGCGUAAAGCGCGUGCAGGCGGUUGGGUAAGUCGUGCGUGAAAGCUCCUCGCUCAACGGGGAGAGGACGUGCGAGACUGCCGAACUAGAGGAAGGUAGAGGCAAGUGGAAUUCCGGGUGGAGUGGUGAAAUGCGUAGAGAUCCGGAGGAACCCCUGUGGCGAAGGCGACUUGCUAGGCCUUUUCUGACGCUCAGACGCGAAAGCAUGGGGAGCGAACGGGAUUAGAAACCCUUGUAGUCC